rnacentral:lncRNA from 1 species
AGAAGGAGGGAGAGAGAAAGGAAAGACUGGGCAUGCAGAGGGAGAGAAGCACUGAAAAGCAGAGUCAGUGGGGAGGUUUUCCAGGGGAACAAAAAUAGCACUAAUGUCAGAAUAUACCACAGACGAACCGCAAAACGAGCAGAAAAUAUCAGUAGCAGCAGUUUUUGUAACCUUAAUGCAAGCAGGCAAGGUCACUAAAUUAGUCGUGGAUGGUGUAUGUUGGUGUUACACAAAGGCGAACAUAUCUGGCAAAGGUUUCUUUUAUUCGUCCGGAAACCUGCAGCACACGGAAUUACUCGCUCCCCAGAUAGUCGUGGGAUCUUAAAUAAUAAUAAAACCAUAAGAUAGCGUUUGUAUGACAAACCCCUUUCAUUCAGGGGCUGCUGGGCUCUGAGAAUUAAGCAGUACAAAGCAGAGAUGGAGACACUUCACCUUCAAGCGAACUAAAGACACGGCUUAAGACUAAAGACACGGCUUAAGACAAUGUUUUCUCCAGGUUUAGCUGCAGAAUCCCGCAACACGAUGUGAACAUCGCCCUCCCCUAACAUUUAAACACGAUGUGAACCCCCAUAAAAUAUUGUCCUUUCACGCUUAUCUCGACAUGAAACCAUCCCCAUGGAUGAAUGCAAAGUUAUGUGAAUAAAGUCCACUCAGAGUGCAGGGCAAAUAAAGCAAGAUCCUGAAAUAUUCUUCUUUUCAGUAGCAGUGUCUCCAAGCAAAUAUCCAGGCUGGAAUUAAAACACGCCUUGCUAUUGAAUUCAGCAGCUACAAGAUUUUAUGCACGCUCCAGCUAGACUCCUAUGCCUCCACAAAAGCUCCGGUACUUGUUUAAUGGGAGAUUACCUCUUCUGAAAUGAUGGUGAACUAUCACAUCCCUUCCAGGCAGGCUAAUAUCUUUUCCUCUCACCUCCCCUUUUGAAUCUGCGGGGGAAAGAAACUUAACUGCAUUGAGCAAAACUAAACACUAGCAGUCCACAAGCCGUGUGAAUAUUGUUAUUCUUUUCCCUGACGGAGAAUAAAAAUCGUAAAUAAAUAGUAAAAGAAGGAAAGUCGAGACGCAAAUUAGGAGGUUACAGAAAAUGAAGCCUUUGUCUGAGCACUGUCCUGGCUGGUUGACUUCUGACACCUUUUCGGAGCUAAAGGCUUCCCAUGUUCGCCCUGCUCCCUGCAAGUGCUGUGUGUGCUCAGCCCGAGCUGCAUCCCUGUGCACGCAAGCCAGGCUGUUUCCUCACUUCCAAAUCUUUUGCUUUCGCUUUGAGAAAUUCUCCCCUGAUUGGAAGAAAGGGAG